UGUCGGGUAAGUUCCGACCUGCACGAAUGGCGUAAUGAUGGCCAGGCUGUCUCCACCCGAGACUCAGUGAAAUUGAACUCGCUGUGAAGAUGCAGUGUACCCGCGGCAAGACGGAAAGACCCCGUGAACCUUUACUAUAGCUUGACACUGAACAUUGAGCCUUGAUGUGUAGGAUAGGUGGGAGGCUUUGAAGUGUGGACGCCAGUCUGCAUGGAGCCGACCUUGAAAUACCACCCUUUAAUGUUUGAUGUUCUAACGUUGGCCCGUUAUCCGGGUUGCGGACAGUGUCUGGUGGGUAGUUUGACUGGGGCGGUCUCCUCCUAAAGAGUAACGGAGGAGCACGAAGGUUGGCUAAUCCUGGUCGGACAUCAGGAGGUUAGUGCAAUGGCAUAAGCCAGCUUGACUGCGAGCGUGACGGCGCGAGCAGGUGCGAAAGCAGGUCAUAGUGAUCCGGUGGUUCUGAAUGGAAGGGCCAUCGCUCAACGGAUAAAAGGUACUCCGGGGAUAACAGGCUGAUACCGCCCAAGAGUUCAUAUCGACGGCGGUGUUUGGCACCUCGAUGUCGGCUCAUCACAUCCUGGGGCUGAAGUAGGUCCCAAGGGUAUGGCUGUUCGCCAUUUAAAGUGGUACGCGAGCUGGGUUUAGAACGUCGUGAGACAGUUCGGUCCCUAUCUGCCGUGGGCGCUGGAGAACUGAGGGGGGCUGCUCCUAGUACGAGAGGACCGGAGUGGACGCAUCACUGGUGUUCGGGUUGUCAUGCCAAUGGCACUGCCCGGUAGCUAAAUGCGGAAGAGAUAAGUGCUGAAAGCAUCUAAGCACGAAACUUGCCCCGAGAUGAGUUCUCCCUGACUCCCUGAGAGUCCUGAAGGAACGUUGAAGACGACGACGUUGAUAGGCCGGGUGUGUAAGCGCAGCGAUGCGUUGAGCUAACCGGUACUAAUGAACCGUGAGG
rnacentral:rRNA from 1 species